rnacentral:rRNA from 1 species
GGGANUUGGCAUGGGGGAACCCUGNCCAGCAAUGCCGCGUGUGUGAAGAAGGCCUUCGGGUUGUAAAGCACUUUCGGUUGGGAAGAAAAGUUUGGCGCUAAUACCGCCGAACCUUGACGUUACUGACAGAAGAAGCACCGGCUAACUCUGUGCCAGCAGCCGCGGUAAUACAGAGGGUGCAAGCGUUAAUCGGAAUCACUGGGCGUAAAGCGUGCGUAGGUGGUCAUGCAAGUCGGGUGUGAAAUCCCCGGGCUUAACCUGGGAACUGCAUUCGAUACCACAUGGCUAGAGUAUGGUAGAGGGAAGUGGAAUUUCCGGUGUAGCGGUGAAAUGCGUAGAUAUCGGAAGGAACACCAAUGGCGAAGGCAGCUUCCUGGACUAAUACUGACACUGAGGCACGAAAGCGUGGGUAGCAAACAGGAUUAGAUACCCUGGUAGUCCACGCCCUAAACGAUGAGAACUAGCCGUUGGGGGAAUUAAAUCUCCUAGUGGCGCAGCUAACGCGUUAAGUUCUCCGCCUGGGGAGUACGGCCGCAAGGUUAAAACUCAAAAGAAUUGACGGA